AAGCUCGUAGUUGAAUUUCGGGGUUAGUAGGUUGGUCAUGCCUCUGGUAUGUACUGGUCUCACUGAUUCCUCCUUCCUUAUGAACCGUAAUGCCAUUAAUUUGGUGUUGCGGGGAAUUUGGACUGUUACUUUGAAAAAUUAGAGUGUUUAAAGCAAGCUAACGCUUGAAUACAUUAGCAUGGAAUAAUGAAAUAGGACGUUCGAUCUUAUUUUGUUGGUUUCUAGGAUUGACGUAAUGAUUAAUAGGGAUAGUUGG
rnacentral:rRNA from 1 species